GAUGAACGCUAGCUAUAGGCUUAACACAUGCAAGUCGAGGGACCGGCGCACGGGUGAGUAACGCGUAUCCAACCUACCCAUACCUAAGGGAUAACCCAGCGAAAUUGGGACAAAUACCUUAUGGUUAUGGCUGGGGAUGCGUCGGAUUAGCUUGUUGGCUGGGUAACGGCCAACCAAGGCAACGAUCAGUAGGGGUUCUGAGAGGAAGGUCCCCCACAUCGGAACCACGACACGGUCCAAACUCGUACGGGAGGCAGCAGUGAGGAAUAUUGGUCAAUGGACUCAAGUCGGAAACAGCCAAGUAGCGUGCAGAGUGGCGGCGUAGGGGUUGUAAGCUGCUUUUAUAUGGGGAUAGGUACCAUAUGAAUAAGGACCGGCUAAUUCCGUGCCAGCAGCCGCGGUAAUUC
rnacentral:rRNA from 1 species